GAUGAACGCUGGCGGCGUGCCUAAUACAUGCAAGUCGAGCGAACAGACGAGGAGCUUGCUCCUCUGACGUUAGCGGCGGACGGGUGAGUAACACGUGUAUAACCUACCUAUAAGACUGGGAUAACUUCGGGAAACCGGAGCUAAUACCGGAUAAUAUAUUGAACCGCAUGGUGCAAUAGUGAAAUACGGUUUUGCUGUCACUUAUAGAUGGAUCCGCGCCGCAUGAGAUGGUUGGUAAGGUAACGGCUUACCAAGGCAACGAUGCGUAGCCGACGUGAGAGGGUGAUAGGCCACACUGGAAGUGAGACAGGGUCCAGAGUCCUACGGGAGGCAGCAGUAGGGAACCUUCCGCAAUGGGCGAAAGCCUGACGGAGCAACGCCGCGUGAGUGAUGAAGGUCUUCGGAUCGUAAAACUCUGUUAUUAGGGAAGAACAACUGUGUAAGUAACUAUGCACGUCUUGACGGUACCUAAUCAGAAAGCCCCGGCUAACUACGUG
rnacentral:rRNA from 1 species